GGGCUUUGGUUACUCAGAGCACAGGCCUUUCAACCAGGGCUGCGCUGCCAAGGACCCAGGACUACGGGGUAGGAAACACUGAGGAGUUUCUCCUACCCCAGUGCCCAUCUCUCCCAAGCAUGCCCAGGUGCACACACCUGUCUUGAGCUCCAGCCACAAACCCACUGGAAUUGGGAAAGCUUCAACAAGCCUAUGCCAGGGAACUAGGAUGGAACAUGGUUAUGGGACACCUCCAUUAGAAAGGUCCAGAGACUGCCCGAAUUUGCUUGGCUUCAGCGUCAUUCAGCCUGGGAGACAGCGCAGCACUGUAAAACUAAGAUCAUCUACCCCUUGACCACCGAGUGACCUCCCAGCUUCCAAGGAGCUCCUGUCUCCAGAGAUCUCCUGAGUUGUCUUCAACUUCGUUCAGCUGCAGGUCCUGUGGGUGUGUGGAGUCCCUGCAGGGCAGCAGCUGGGGCAGGAGACAGAGGGGAUAACCGCAAGUGGUCUAGCUUGCAAACAUUUGUGGUUUGCACACAGAACGGAUGAAGCCUCUGCCCUGGCAACUUCUACCGGGUUCUAGCGGCAUGAGAGUGUGAACUGCAUCUGACUUUUCGCACUUCCCCUGCAGAGUGAGAUGCUGUUGCACCUUCAAAGGUGUUGGUGA
rnacentral:lncRNA from 1 species